rnacentral:rRNA from 1 species
AGUGAACGCUGGCGGCAGGCCUAACACAUGCAAGUCGAACGGCAGCACAGUAAGAGCUUGCUCUUACGGGUGGCGAGUGGCGGACGGGUGAGGAAUAAAUCGGAAUCUACUUUUUCGUGGGGGAUAACGUAGGGAAACUUACGCUAAUACCGCAUACGACCUACGGGUGAAAGCAGGGGAUCUUCGGACCUUGCGCGAUUGAAUGAGCCGAUGUCGGAUUAGCUAGUUGGCGGGGUAAAGGCCCACCAAGGCGACGAUCCGUAGCUGGUCUGAGAGGAUGAUCAGCCACACUGGAACUGAGACACGGUCCAGACUCCUACGGGAGGCAGCAGUGGGGAAUAUUGGACAAUGGGCGCAAGCCUGAUCCAGCCAUACCGCGUGUGUGAAGAAGGCCUUCGGGUUGUAAAGCCCUUUUGUUGGGAAAGAAAAGCAGCAGGUUAAUACCCCGCUGUUCUGACGGUACCCAAAGAAUAAGCACCGGCUAACUUCGUG